rnacentral:rRNA from 1 species
UCCGUAGGUGAACCUGCGGAAGGAUCAUUACAGAAAUAGGAGAAGGUUGCUUAACUGCAAUCCUUUUCUUUCUACACAUGCGUUUUUCUUUUUUUUGAAAACUUUGCUUUGGUGGGCCCACGGCCUGCCAGAGAUUAAACUCAACCAAAUUUUUAUUUAAUUGUCAACUUGAUUAACUAAUAGUCAAAACUUUCAACAACGGAUCUCUUGGUUCUCGCAUCGAUGAAGAACGCAGCGAAAUGCGAUAAGUAAUAUGAAUUGCAGAUAUUCGUGAAUCAUCGAAUCUUUGAACGCACAUUGCGCCCUUUGGUAUUCCAAAGGGCAUGCCUGUUUGAGCGUCAUUUCUCCCUCAAACCUUCGGGUUUAGUGUUGAGCGAUACGCUGGGUUUGCUUGAAAGAAAGGCGGAGUAUAAACUAACGGAUAGGUUUUUUUUUCCACUCAUUGGUACGAACUCCAAACAUUCCUCCAAAUUCGACCUCAAAUCAGGUAGGACUACCCGCUGAACUUAAGCAUAUCAAUAAGCGGAGGA